AUACGUAGGGGGCGAGCGUUGUCCGGAAUGAUUGGGCGUAAAGGGCGCGUAGGCGGCCUGUUAAGUCUGGAGUGAAAGUCCUGUUUUCAAGAUGGGAAUUGCUUUGGAUACUGAUGGGCUUGAGUGCAGGAGAGGUUAUCGGAAUUCCCGGUGUAGCGGUGAAAUGCGUAGAGAUCGGGAGGAACACCAGUGGCGAAGGCGGGUAACUGGACUGCAACUGACGCUGAGGCGCGAAAGUGUGUGGAGCAAACAGGAUUAGAUACCCUGGUAGUCCACACUGUAAACGAUGAAUGCUAGGUGUAAGAGGUAUCGACUCCCUCUGUGCCGCAGUUAACACAAUAAGUAUUCCGCCUGGGGAGUACGGCCGCAAGGUUGAAACUCAAAUGAAUUGACGGGG
rnacentral:rRNA from 1 species